AGAGUUUGAUCAUGGCUCAGGACGAACGCUGGCGGCGUGCUUAACACAUGCAAGUCGAGCGGUAAGGCCCCUUCGGGGGUACACGAGCGGCGAACGGGUGAGUAACACGUGAGCAACCUACCCUCAACUUUGGGAUAAGCCUCGGAAACGGGGUCUAAUACCGGAUAAUACUAGUCAUCUCAUGGUGGUUGGUUGAAAGUUCUGGCGGUUGGGGAUGGGCUCGCGGCCUAUCAGCUUGUUGGUGGGGUAAUGGCCUACCAAGGCGUCGACGGGUAGCCGGCCUGAGAGGGCGACCGGCCACACUGGGACUGAGACACGGCCCAGACUCCUACGGGAGGCAGCAGUGGGGAAUAUUGCGCAAUGGACGAAAGUCUGACGCAGCAACGCCGCGUGAGGGAUGACGGCCUUCGGGUUGUAAACCUCUUUCAGCAGGGACGAAGCGAGAGUGACGGUACCUGCAGAAGAAGGACCGGCCAACUACGUGCCAGCCGCCGCGGUAAUAC
rnacentral:rRNA from 1 species